rnacentral:lncRNA from 1 species
AUAAAAAGAGUUGUGACACUCAUUAGCUUUUAACUUCAAAUAAAUGUUAUAGAUUUCUAAAAAGCAUUUAUGAUAUCGAAAAUGAUUAUGCAAGUUAAUUUGACAAAAAGAAAAGAAAAGGAGUACAAGUAGUAAAGAAAAUUGAGGCUGUAUUAUUACUACUUACUCUCUUUCAUUCAUAAAUCAUAAAGAAAGACUUGAGCUGGGAUUUGUUUCUUCUUCAAUCAAAACAAACCCAGCUCCCUGAGCUUCCGCUCUCACCACCACCAUGCGCCUUGGCAGCGGUGGUUGCUAGAUCUUGAAGCUAGAAGGAAGUGGCACUGGCAGCAGUGAAGGUAGCAAUGGGUGCUAGAUCGUGAAGCCAGAAGGAAGCAAAGAGCCAUCAGCAGGCAACAGCAAACCCAAAAAUGAAGCGACGACAAAACCAAAGCCAGAAGGAAGCGGCAGUAACAGCAAAGCCAAAAGGAAGCGGCAGCAAAGCAAAAAGGCAGCGGCAGUAGCAAAGGUUUUGUUAUCAGCAGCCGGCAGCAAUUUGGCAGAUUUUGGGUAAAAAUUAGUCAUAAUCGGCGGUAAUGUGUGUGUGUGUGUGUGUGUAUGUGUGUGUUUGUGUUAAGGAUGGCAAUGGAUCGGAUUGUUUGGUUCAAAAUUGUGUGUGUGUGUGAUUUUUACCAAACAAUUUGGCAGAUUUCUGGUUCAAAAUUGCAGAACUAGAAUUGAACCAAACAAUUGUCCAUGUGAUUCGAAUUUAAUUGGAUCGAAUUUGGAUCGGAUUAAAAUUGAUUUGGAUCGGAUUUGGAUAUCGAUACAUGAAUUUAAGGCGGAUCUAGAGCAAAUUCGAAUUUAUCUUAAUAUUUAGAUCUAAAUUUAUGUCCACUCACCAUUUAAUGUAAUUUUAUUUUAAAAAAUUCUUAACAAUUAUGUAAUUAUAAAUGAUGAUAAAAUUUAUUAAUUAGCAUAUAUUUAAAAAUAUUAAAAUUUAAAGGUACUUAAUUGAUAAUAAGACAAAAAUUUAUUAAGUGUAAAAUAAAAUUAAGAUAGCCUGCUCUCAUUUUUUUAAGUUUUUCACUGUACAAUUUAGUCUCUUUUUUUCUGUUUAGUAUACUCUAACUUCUCCACUUCAUUUGAAUGCUUGAAUAAGUUCUUUAAUUGUUAGGAAAAUCCAUAGAUUUGAGUUUAUUUUCUAUCAUUUUCUCAUAAUCUUAUUUAUUUUGUAUAAUCACUAAUCAAUGGUGGCUAUCAACUAUAAAAUAAUUAUGUUAAUCAUAUAUUUAGUUAAUAUAUGAUCAUAAUAAAAAUAAUAAAGCACUAAAAAUAAUAAAUCAUUUUAAACUUAUAUAUUAUUAUUUAAUAAUAUUAGAAUGAUGAUGGUGUGCAGUGGAUAUCAAAAUGGUAAAGGAGGCAUUAGAAUAUUAUAAUGAUCUUAUUCUUGCAAUUACUUUUGAUCGAUAUUUUAUUAUCUUUCUUAUUUGUAUAUUUUGGUGUAAAAGUAGAAGUUACAAUACUUAUUAGAUUUUUUAUACAAAAUAUAUAAUUUAAUUGUUACCAAUGCAUUUUAGUCUUAAAUUUUCUUUUUAAAAAAAUAUUGAUCUUUUAUUAUUGAGAUUUAGAAUUCAUGAUGGAUCUAGAGCAAAUUUGAAUUUGAAUUUUUCUUUUUGGAUUUGGAGCAGAUAUAGAUCUUUAUUUUUUGUUUCGGAUCUAGAUAUGGAGCGAAAAAUAUAAAUCCAUGACGGAUCUGGAGCAGAUACGAAUCUUAAUUUUUAUUACGGAUCUGGAUAUAGAGCAAUAUAGAUUCAAUCCAUACCUGCUCCAUUGCCAUCCCUAGUUUGUGUGUCUGUCUCUGUGUGUGUAUUAUUUCAAAAUUACCAUUGGAUUUCAGUUUGAUUCUAGUUUUACAAUUUUGUACUGCUGGAUGUGUGUAUUAUUUCAAAAUUUCAAAAUUGCCAUUGGAUUUUGGUUCAAUUCUAGUUCUGCAAUUUUGAACCAGAAACCCAACCGAACUAUUCGGUUCGGUGGCGGAUCAAAGCUAUUCGAUUUUUUUAUUAAAGAAUAUUGAAACUGUAAAAAAUCGAACCGAACUGAUUUUUCGAAUCGAUUUUUUGAGUUUAGGUUCGGUUCUGCCCACCACUUUAUCACUCCACUCGGUCUCAUAGGCCAUUCCCGAUUUUGCCAUGGGGAUUGUUUUUUAUUGGGAAAAUAUCCACCGUCCACCUAAUUUUGUCCACUUUUUCAAAAAUACACAAAUCUUAAUUUUUUUUAUUGUACUCCACCUAAAAUAAGGUUUUCUUGCAUUCAUCCACUUCCGUUUGCACACGGUUAAGAGAACUAACGGAAAAUUGAUCAAAUGACUAUUUUACCCUAAAUAUAAAAUUAUAAUUUUACCCUAAAUAAAUGCAAAAAAAAAAAAGUGGCUGGCCGAAACCUUAUCCCAAACCUUAUCUUCAGGCUCGAGCUGCUGGUGGCACGAUCAUCGAUUGAGAUCAAGCUAUUGGUGGCAAAGAAACUGAAGGAGAUUGGUGAGAGGUUGGGUACGUAGUGAAGAAAGAAAAAGGAAAUAUUGUUGGGCUAGGGAAUCUGGGAAAAUGGUGUUGCCUAUUGAAGUUUCGAUGGAGAUUGCUACUGAAAUGUUUAUGGUGGAGUGAAAGCGGUGGAUAAUAAUGGCUGCGGGGCUUGCUGUCAGAGUUUGAGGAGGGUGAUUGGGAGGAGUUGCAAAUGGUUUUGGGGAUAUUGCUCUUUCUUGGCAUGGUAAUGAUGUGAUGUAAUGUGAAGAAAAUGGAUAAACCAGGUAGCCCAUGAAAUAUGGGUGUGUGAAAAUCAAGCUGUUACCCGGUGGGAGGGUGACAUUAUGGACUUCAAGCAGCACCUGAAGGCGACGGUCUUGGUUUUAACAAGACUAUGCAAGCUAAGAAAACGCGUGAUUUCUUUGGUGGUUGGAGAAUGAGGAUUGCAUUGGCGCGUGCACUCUUUAUUAACCCAACCAUUCUGUUGCUCGAUUAGCCCACAAAUCAUCUAGAUCUAGAAGCUUGCGUUUGGCUGGAAGAGACCUUGAAGAAAUUUGACCGCAUCUUGGUGGUGAUUUCACACUCCUAGGAUUUUCUAAAUGGAGUUUGCACAAACAUCAUUCACAUGCAAAACAAGAAAUUGAAGUUCUAUACCGGUAAUUUUGAUCAGUAUGUUCAGACUCGUUCUGAAUUGGAAGAGAACCAGAUGAAACAAAGAAUUUAAUUGUGCUGAAACAAAGCAUUUUGAGAGGUAGGAAGAAGGGUCAAAUGACAAAUUUAUCCCUAUGACAUCAACGAGAUUUUAACAGCGUGAACACGGGAGUGGGUGAGUGUAAGAAAACCUUACUUUAGGUGGAGUGCAGCCAAAAAAAUUAAGAUUUGUGUAUUUUUUAAAAAGUAGACAAAAUCAGAUGGACGGUGGAUAUUUUUCCUUUUUUUAUUUUCAACCCACCGACCACCUGAUUUUUCGCACUUUAUUAAAAAUACACAAAUUUUUUUUUUUUUUUUUGCAACAAUCUACUUAAAAUUUACAAAGUUAUCAUCGUUCCACUUCCGUCGUAACUUCGUUAGAAUAUUGCUGACAUCAAAGGGUUAAAAUUGUCAUUUGAAGUAAACACACUAAAACGAUGACGGAUUCCUCUUGCAAAAACGGCCACCAACUGCUGGGGCGUUGCUAGUACCCCAAAUGCACAGAUCGAAAAAAAAAAUAGAGAUAAAAACACAAAACAUACUCAAAUCAAAAUUUCAAGAACCCAAAUCAUGUCAUGGAUAAUAUUUGAAGGAUUACUGUCGUUGGGCAUCAUAACAGCAAUGCUAACAAUUGCCGACAAUGCGCAGUAUCACAUCCACAAAGCCGCUCACGGAUGCUCGAAGCACGUCGGCAAUGAUGUGUGGUACGUCGCGAUGGAGAGAAGGGACAAGAAGAUUGUGGAAUAGCUCUUUAAUGCUUCCUCCAAUUAGAUGUUGUCUUGCCUUUCCAGAAGCUUUGCUUAUGAAGAUUCAAGCAGAUGCAAUAUGUUCAUUUUCUUAUCUUUUGUACGUGAAUCUAUUUAAGCCUUUAAAUUGUUUUUUGGAAAAACAAAAACUUUGUCCAAUCAUGAAUUUAGGAAAUUGAUUAAGGCUAAUGAGUUUAGUGAAGAGGGCGCAACAGCGGCUGCAAACAAUCUAGGCGGGGAAGAAGGAGGUGUUCUUCUUAAUAUUUGUUAUCUAAUUUAUUUAUUUUAAGAUUUUUUAUAAUUAUUUAGUUUUAAGAUUUUUUUAUAAUUAUUUAUUUUUAUAUGCAACUUCUAUUAUCAAAUUUAUUUAUUAUUAUUUUUAAGAUUUUUAUUUGAUAGUUAUUUAUUAUUUUUAAGAUUUUUUUAUAAUUACCCCUUUGCAACUAAAAGUUUUUUAUGGAUAAAAUAGUCAUUUGAUGAGUAUUCUAUUAAAUACUCUGACAGUAUUAUAACAUGAGUGGAGUGGUGAUACACCUUAUAAACUUCGGGUGGAUUGUUGCAAAAAAAAAAAGAUUAUGUAUUUUUGAUAAAGUACAAAAAAUCAGGUGAUCGGUGUAUAUUUUUCCUUGUUUUUAAGAAAGUGAAAUGCUGCGUUUAAUUCGUGGUCUCCCAUUUUCUCUCUGCAACGGCAACCGUGUUAUUAAACUCCGAUGACUAUGAGACCAGCAACUGAUUUGGCGACUCGGAUCAGCCAAGCAAUAAUCUCCGCUUCGAAUCGCACAAGGCCAGCACGGAAAUGGACCCCAUUACUGGAACAAACUCUCCACCAACUCGGUCUCCGUGACUCACUGAGUCCAUCGCUUGUGGCCCGAGUCAUCAACCCGUAUCUCUUAACACACCACUCCCUCGCUCUUGGCUUCUUCAACUGGGCCUCCCAACAACCCAACUUCACUCACUCCCCGCUCUCUUAUCACUCAAUCCUCAAAUCUCUUUCUCUUUCCCGCCAAAUCAACGCAAUUGACUCCGUCUUAAAGCAAGUCAAAGUUAAUAAAAUAACUCUAGAUUCUUCAGUUUAUCGGUUUAUAAUUCCUUCACUGAUCCAAGGAAAGAAUACCCAGAAAGCUUUUUCAGUUUUCAAUGAAGUUAAGUUCAACUGUGAAGACAUUGGGCCUGAGAUAUGCAACUCUCUGUUGGCUGUAUUAGCUUCUGAUGGAUACAUUGAUAAUGCUUUGAAGAUGUUCGAUGAAAUGUCUCAUAGAGGUGUCGAGUUCAGUACCAUUGGUUUUGGUGUGUUUAUUUGGAAGUUCUGUGAAAAUGCUAAACUGGGUCAAGUUUUAAGCAUGUUGGACGAGGUUAGAAAGAGAGAGAAUUCAAUGAUUAAUGGGUCGGUAAUUGCGGUUUUGAUAAUUCAUGGGUUUUGCAAGGGUAAAAGAGUAGAAGAGGCUUUUAAGGUAUUAGAUGAGUUGAGGAUAAGAGAGUGUAAACCUGACUUCAUUGCUUAUAGAAUUGUAGCUGAAGAGUUUAAACUAAUGGGAUCUGUGUUUGAAAGAGAAGUAGUCUUGAAGAAGAAAAGAAAGCUAGGGGUUGCUCCAAGAACUAAUGACUAUAGAGAGUUUAUUUUAGGUUUGAUUGUGGAGAGACGAAUAUGUGAAGCAAAAGAACUGGGCGAAGUGAUUGUUAGUGGGAAGUUUACCAUUGAUGAUGAUGUUUUAAAUGCCUUGAUAGGUUCGGUAUCGAGCAUUGAUCCUAGGUCUGCUAUUGUGUUUUUUAAUUUUAUGAUUGAGAAAGGGAGAGUUCCGACAUUAUCGACAUUGAGUAACUUGAGUAAGAAUUUAUGUAAGCGUAACAAGAGUGAUGAAUUGGUAGAGGUUUAUAAGGUUCUGUCUGCUAAUGAUUAUUUCACUGAUAUGGAGAGUUACAAUGUGAUGGUUUCAUUCUUGUGCACUUCAGGGAGACUAAGAGAAGCAUAUGGGGUUAUUCAGGAGAUGAAGAGGAAAGGAUUAGAUCCAGAUGUUUCUUUUUAUAAUUCUCUCAUGGAAGCAUGCUGUAGAGAAGAUUUGCUGCGUCCUGCUAAAAAGUUGUGGGAUCAGAUGUUUGCUAGUGGCUGCAGUGGAAAUCUGAAGACGUACAAUAUACUUAUUAGCAAGUUUUCAGAAGUUGGUGAAAUUGAAGGCGCUUUGAGGCUCUUCCACAAUAUGUUGGAGAAAGGAGUGGCGCCUGAUGCUACAACUUACACAUCCCUUCUUGAAGGGCUUUGUCAAGAAACAAAUCUUCAAGCUGCUUUUGAAGUCUUUAACAAGUCUGUUAAUCAGGAUGUCAUGCUCGCACGUAGCAUUUUGAGCACAUUCAUGAUUUCUCUCUGUAGAAGAGGUAUCAAUUCAACUUUCUCUUAUGUUUUGUUUCCUUAUGAGAAGCUAUUUACAUGCUUCAAUUAAGCUUCAUGCAGGUCAUUUUCUCGUUGCUACUAAGUUGCUCCAUGGUCUCAGUUCUGAUUUAGGACAUUCAGACUCCCAUGUUAUCUUGCUGAAAUCUUUAGCUGAUGCCAGAGAGGUUGAAAUGGCCAUUGAACAUAUAAAAUGGAUUCAGGAGAGCUCACCUACAAUGUUACAAGAAAUUUCUGAAGAAUUAUUUGCAUCACUUUCGUCUUCUUCAUACCCAGAGCCUAUUCUUCUGCUGCUUCAUGCAUUGCAGGAAAAAUGCCUAGAUUCUGAAAUUGGUGCUGGUAAGGGAUGCAGCAGAUCAUAACCUGGGUGGUAGUCGGGUAUCCUAGUGGCAGGAUGAGUAAUGCUCCCAAGUCAGUGACUAUGUUUUAUGUUUUAGUAUCUGGCUCAUUGGUGCAACUAAAAACAGUAACCAAAAUGCAGAUUUUUCUGCAGUGACGGUGUACAAUAUGUGGAAAUUAAGUCUAUUAAUUGUCUUCUCACUUCUAAGGGACUCCUUCCUACACAAGGCUAUUAAUUGUCGUCCUCCUUUACAUGACUGUGACUUCCUACAUUCUGUCUGUUGUUGCACCACCAAUAUUGUGGUAUUGCCCAUAAAAUCUGCUGAAGCUAACACAUCACCUAUCAUUCCCAACUCUCUGAACUCAUUCCAAAAUGUCAGCCCUGACCUGAUUGGUGAUAGAUUGUCAUGAUUCUUUCCCACCAUUGCAAGUUCAUAAUUGUUCUCCAUGGAUUUGAUCUCAGCCACAGCCCCUACACAAUCCACAGCCACCCUCUCUGUAUAUUACACGAUAGUUUCCUUCUUUUAGAUAUGGUAUUAAACAGGACAACUGAGACCAGGCUGUGACUGCUUUGCUCAGAGAAUCUGAAGAUACUGACCAAGUGUUCAAAUAUAGAGGGACUUUGGUCUGUGAAAAGUGAGUUUGCACGUCCGGCAAGCACAAUGAAGUGGAGGAUAUAGAUGGUAAUAGGGCUUUGAUGGGUGGGACUUAAAAAGUAUUGAGGACAUUGAUGGCAAUAGGAAUAUCCUCUUGGUCGUCUAUGCAAAACUAGUAGCCGAGGUGAUGAGUCAGGCUUGGAAUGAAUUACAGGCCUUCUCGUGUAAACUACAUGCCUCCUUGAAGGAUCAUGGAGAUGUCCUAUGAAGGGUGUGAUGGCACCAGUUACAAGCAGCAGCGUGAAAGCGCACAUGAAAAGAGUCGUUAUCUACUGCCAGCAAUAAUAAUAGGAAACCAAGUUUUCAGACUUUUAGAUAAUUGUCAUUCUUCAAUACCUGUAGCCGUCCGUCUAUAUUACAUAAUUACGGUAGCAAGAGAUGGACAAUUAUUCAGAAGUACAAAGAUGAAAAUAUAAUGAAAAUAAGAGCUCCCGAUUUAACGCGUAAGCCCAUGGCGUGACUGCAUAAACCUUCCACCAAGAAUGCUAUAACUAUUAUUAUUGUAUUUUGUACAUUCAGGAUUGAUGCAGUAGAAUCGAAGCUGCUAUCACAACGAAACUGCGGAAGAAACUUACCACGAAGAAGAUAAAGCAGAGUUUAUGAUUAGACGAGCUCAUUGAGGGAGUAAGCUAAUAUUGGGAAGGAGAGCAUGGAUUCUACUUGCGCUAACCUUCAUGAAGACUUAAAAGAACAGCCGAUGUUUGGCAACCAUUGGUACCGCGAAGCAUCUGCUAUUUCGUCCAUUUUCUGAAUUAUCCACGAAUCAAUUUGCAAUCCAAUAUGAAAGAAGUAAAGCAUGAAUCCUAGAGAAGCAGAAAUAUUUAUCUUGGGGGUGGAAACAAGUUUGUACAUUCAGGAAUCUGUCCUAGGAGUGCCCACCCAACCUUGGGUUUACCAAAAACAAAAAAUAAAAGUAAAAAAAAAAUGAAACAAUUAUUUCUUUUAUUAGUAUAUGCAACUCUACAAAAGAAUUUUGAAUUUUCUCUAUCCCAUCUACACAAGCUAGACCUCAUUUACGUUUUACUGUAUACAUUGAGAAUGGCAAGGCAGUGUAGAAAACAAAAUCAGCUACCGCAUCUCCAAACAAAAAAGAAUGCAAAAACAACGAAAAUCUAGAUACUUGAACUAUUCAACUGUACAGAAUCCUUCUAUACAAAGAAUGCAGAAAAUCACAAUGCAAUAUAUGUACAUCUUGUAGCUGGUCAAUCUUCAAGGCGCUGAAUUUCACCCAUCAUGAUCCGGUUGCUAGAAACUUUAAAUCCAAGGAGAGCGGGAUCUAUCUGCCUUCCUUUCUUUCCUUUCUUUUUGCCACCCCGCCCACUUGGUGCACCAUCAGAUGACUCAAAAGCAGCCCCAUUUGAUGGAUCUGCUUCUGGAUGAACUGGUUUCUUAAGCAUGUCUAUGAAUGAUGUCUCCGAGACUGCUGCAUCACUGAAAGAUGAGGUCCUCCUAAAUCGCAGAUCUUUCUUGCCAGUUUCAGAGACUCUGGCUCCUACUGGAUUAUUAACAGAUUCCCGCUUUCCUUCUGAAAGUUACCACAGCCAUAAAUGAACUAAUAGUCCAUAACCAAAAAAAUUAAAAGCAGAGUGACUGAAACACAUUUUAUACCAUCAGAUGCAAGGGAAGCUGAACUUUUCUGCUUGACAAUUGGAGCAGCAGUUGGCUCAUCCUGGGAAGAUGAAGCAACUCUUGUUACAGUUGGGCGUUUGUUCCAAUCAUUGUCAAGCCCUUUGGGUAACAUGGUGGGUAGCCUGUCAACAAAAAAUGACUUCUUUAUCAACAUGGCUAAGGGAGUGAACAGUUGCAAAACAUAGCACUAGCCACUAGCUACUCCAAAAUCACUGAGCAAAACUAUUCCAACAAUAGUGAACAGCAGCUCUUUUUUUUUUUUUUUAAUGAAAAACGGUGAUUUACACAGUACAAAUACAUCCGCCCUGCUGUACCGUACAUCCCCUUGGCCGUACAGCAGAGAAGGAAGCAAAGAGCCAUCAGCAGGCAACAGCAAACCCAAAAAUGAAGCGACGACAAAACCAAAGCCAGAAGGAAGCGGCAGUAACAGCAAAGCCAAAAGGAAGCGGCAGCAAAGCAAAAAGGCAGCGGCAGUAGCAAAGGUUUUGUUAUCAGCAGCCGGCAGCAAUUUGGCAGAUUUUGGGUAAAAAUUAGUCAUAAUCGGCGGUAAUGUGUGUGUGUGUGUGUGUGUAUGUGUGUGUUUGUGUUAAGGAUGGCAAUGGAUCGGAUUGUUUGGUUCAAAAUUGUGUGUGUGUGUGAUUUUUACCAAACAAUUUGGCAGAUUUCUGGUUCAAAAUUGCAGAACUAGAAUUGAACCAAACAAUUGUCCAUGUGAUUCGAAUUUAAUUGGAUCGAAUUUGGAUCGGAUUAAAAUUGAUUUGGAUCGGAUUUGGAUAUCGAUACAUGAAUUUAAGGCGGAUCUAGAGCAAAUUCGAAUUUAUCUUAAUAUUUAGAUCUAAAUUUAUGUCCACUCACCAUUUAAUGUAAUUUUAUUUUAAAAAAUUCUUAACAA